rnacentral:lncRNA from 1 species
UGGGCGUUUUUAUUUUUUUGGAGAACAGCUGGGCGCUUCUUUUUUUUUUUUACCGACAGCUCGGCGCUUUUGUUGCUCUUGUCGUCUCCUGCGCAGGGCGCAGCCUGGCUUUUAGCUCCGAGGAAAUGACCGACAUACCCACGGUGGCCUAUAUGGACUUUUUUAUUUACAACUUUUUUUUAGGGGUUUUUAUUUACAACUUUUUUUUUGAGAGGAUAUUUUUAUUUACAACUUGGCUGUCUUGCUUCGGCCUGGCUGGAAAACUACUCCAAGAGUAGGCCUGGUCCAAUUCCAGCCCGAUACACUAUGGUCU